rnacentral:misc_RNA from 1 species
GAUGAAGAACGCAGCGAAAUGCGAUAAGUAGUGUGAAUUGCAGAAUUCAGUGAAUCAUCGAAUCUUUGAACGCACAUUGCGCCCCUUGGUAUUCCAUGGGGCAUGCCUGUUCGAGCGUCAUUUGUACCUUCAAGCUUUGCUUGGUGUUGGGUGUUUGUCUCGCCUUUGCGUGUAGACUCGCCUUAAAAUAAUUGGCAGCCGGCGUAUUGAUUUCGGAGCGCAGUACAUCUCGCGCUUUGCACUCAUAACGACAGCGUCCAAAAGUACAUUUUACACUCUUGACCUCGGAUCAGGUAGGGAUACCCGCUGAACUUAAGCAUAUCAAUAAGCGGAGGC